rnacentral:rRNA from 1 species
UACGGGGGGGGGCAAGCGGUUGUUCGGAAUUACUGGGCGUAAAGGGCUCGUAGGCGGCCAACUAAGUCGGAUGUGAAAUCCCCAGGCUUAACCUGGGAACUGCAUCCGAUACUGGAUGGCUUGAAUCCGGGAGAGGGAUGCAGAAUUCCAGGUGUAGCGGUGAAAUGCGUAGAUAUCUGGAGGAAUACCGGUGGCGAAGGCGGCAUCCUGGACCGGCAUUGACGCUGAGUGAGCGAAAGCCAGGGGAGCAAACGGG